UACGUAGGUGGCGAGCGUUGUCCGGAUUUAUUGGGUUUAAAGGGUGCGUAGGCGGCCAUGUAAGUCAGUGCUGAAAUAUCCCGGCUUAACCGGGAGGGUGGCAUUGAUACUGCGUGGCUAGAGUACAGAUGAGGUAGGCGGAAUUGACGGUGUAGCGGUGAAAUGCUUAGAUAUCGUCAAGAACACCGAUAGUGUAGACAGCUUACUAGACUUCAACUGACGCUGAGGCACGAAAGUGUGGGGAUCAAACAGGAUUAGAUACCCCGGUAGUCC
rnacentral:rRNA from 1 species